rnacentral:pre_miRNA from 1 species
CAGGUAAUUGUCCAUAUCAGAUGUAAUAUUUGUAAUCAUUGAAAUGGACGAUUGUCUGUG